rnacentral:tRNA from 1 species
AGCUUUAUAUUCAUGUAAUUAUAAUGAUAUUAGACUGCAAUUCUAAAGGGGGUAAAUUAAUUAAACCUAAAGCUU